rnacentral:rRNA from 1 species
UACGUAGGGUGCAAGCGUUGUCCGGAAUUAUUGGGCGUAAAGAGCUCGUAGGCGGUUUGUCGCGUCUGCUGUGAAAACCCGAGGCUCAACCUCGGGCCUGCAGCCGAUACGGGCAAACUAGAAUUCGGUAGGGGAGACUGGAAUUCCUGGUGUAGCGGUGAAAUGCGUAGAGAUCGGAAAGAACACCAACGGCGAAAGCACUCUGCUGGGCCGACACUGACACUGAGAGACGAAAGCUAGGGGAGCGAAUGGG